CCUACGGGGGGCAGCAGUGGGGAAUAUUGGGCAAUGGGCGCAAGCCUGACCCAGCAACGCCGCGUGAAGGAAGAAGGCCUUCGGGUUGUAAACUUCUUUUGUCAGGGACGAAGAAAGUGACGGUACCUGACGAAUAAGCCACGGCUAACUACGUGCCAGCAGCCGCGGUAAUACGUAGGUGGCAAGCGUUAUCCGGAUUUACUGGGUGUAAAGGGCGUGUAGGCGGGAGAGCAAGUCCGACGUGAAAUUCCAGGGCUCAACCCUGGAACUGCGUUUGAAACUGUUUUUCUUGAGUGCUGGAGAGGCAAUCGGAAUUCCGUGUGUAGCGGUGAAAUGCGUAGAUAUACGGAGGAACACCAGUGGCGAAGGCGGAUUGCUGGACAGUAACUGACGCUGAGGCGCGAAAGCGUGGGGAGCAAACAGGAUUAGAUACCCUUGUAGUC
rnacentral:rRNA from 1 species